rfam:Gossypium arboreum cultivar AKA8401 contig_112486_1, whole genome shotgun sequence.
UAUUAUAAAUUUUAUCCAGUUCUAUUGUUAAAAGUUGGUUUGAAUGAUAGAAUAACUAAACAGUGGCACGUGGCAUGUCACAUAUAUCUUAUGCUAACAUACAAAGAUAAGUUUUUAAUAGUAGAAAUAGAUGAAAAUUUCAACA